rnacentral:rRNA from 1 species
AACGAACGCUGGCGGCAGGCUUAACACAUGCAAGUCGAACGCACCUUUCGGGGUGAGUGGCCGACGGGUGAGUAACGCGGGGGAAUCUACCCUUCUCUACGGGAUAGCUCCGGGAAACGGGAAUUAAUACCGUAUACGUGCUGAGGGAGAAAGAUUUAUCGGGGAAGGAUGAGCCCGCGUUGGAUUAGCUAGUUGGUGGGGUAAAGGCCUACCAAGGCGACGAUACAUAGCUGGUCUAUGAGGAUGAUCAGCCACAUUGGGGCUGAGACACAGCCCAAACUCCUACGGGAGGCGGCAAUGGGUAAUAUUGGACAAUGGGGGGAAGGAUGAUCCAGCCAUGCCGGGUGAGUGAUGACGGCGCUAGGGUAGGAAAGCUCGUUAAGUGGUGUCGUUAAUGACGGUACCCACAGAAGAAGCCCCGGCUAACUUCGUG